rnacentral:rRNA from 1 species
GACGAACGCUGGCGGCGUGCUUAACACAUGCAAGUUGAACGGGUCAUAUGUGAAGGGUAACCGGAGUGUAUGGCUAGUGGCGAACGGGUGAGUAAUGCAUGAGAACGUAUCCUCAAGAGGGGGACAACAUUGGGAAACCGAUGCUAAUACCCCAUAAGCCGGGAGGUAAAAGGAGGAAUCCGCUUGAGGAGCGGCUCAUGUCCUAUCAGCCAGUUGGCGAGGUAACGGCUCACCAAGGCGAAGACGGGUAGCCGGCCUGAGAGGGUGAACGGCCACACUGGAACUGAGAGACGGUCCAGACUCCUCCGUGAUGCAGCAGGGGGGAAUAUUGGGCAAUGGGGGAAACCCAGACCCAGCGCAGCCGCGUGAGGGAAGAAGGCCUUAGGGUCGUAAACCUCCGUUGUGUGGGAGGAAGAGCGUGACGGUACCACACGAGGAAGUCCCGGCUAACUACGUGCCAGCAGCCGCUGUAA